AACGCACGAGACCUGCGGACCUGCGGAGGGAUCAUUACAGGAUUCGCAAGACUCCUACAACCCUGUGAACUUAACUAUAAGCACGUUGCUUCGGCGGGUGUCUCGGCGAGGGUUCUCCCUCCCCGGGGCGCUAAGCCCGCCGGCAGCCUACUAUACUCUGUCUCUUUGCGUUGGCAUCUCGAGUACAAACAAACAAGUUAAAACUUUCAGCAACGGAUCUCUAGAUCGGAAGAGCACACG
rnacentral:misc_RNA from 1 species